rnacentral:rRNA from 1 species
UACGAAGGGGGCUAGCGUUGUUCGGAAUUACUGGGCGUAAAGGGCUCGUAGGCGGCCAACUAAGUCAGACGUGAAAUCCCUCGGCUUAACCGGGGAACUGCGUCUGAUACUGGAUGGCUUGAAUCCGGGAGAGGGAUGCGGAAUUCCAGGUGUAGCGGUGAAAUGCGUAGAUAUCUGGAGGAACACCGGUGGCGAAGGCGGCAUCCUGGACCGGUAUUGACGCUGAGGAGCGAAAGCCAGGGGAGCAAACGGG